GCUGCUUCCAAUCUGAAACUUCCUUAGUGUUGUAAAAAGCACCCUUCAUUCGAAAUUGCUCAGUGCCUGGACUCAGAGAAAGUGGGAGAGUUACCAAGGCUCGGCCCCAAGGCACAGUGAGGAGAAACUGAGGCAAUGCCAAGAACACCCCGACCUCAUGAGCUUCAAAGAAGCUGCUGCUGCAGUUCCCGGUUCUGAGGCACCUCCAAGACCACUCUCAUCCAAACUCUCAAAACACUCCCCUUG
rnacentral:lncRNA from 1 species